CGGAGAAGCGGCGCGCGGCCAGGAGCCCCCGAGCCAGCGCUUGGUGCCUGCCUCCCGCAGCUCUCUGCCAUGUGCCUACCGGGGCAGGGGCGCUUGGAAGGCGACCAGAACUGGGCCUGAGCCUGGGGACUCGCCUGAUCAGGGGAGACAGAGCCGCCGUCGCCGCAGCCGCCCCACCCCCGCCGUCGCCUCGUGGGGCCCUGGCCCCUUUCCGGGGAGGCAGAGUGAAAGCCCCAAUAAAUGCCCAAAGAUGUCACAGAGGCUACAGCUGCUUACCUCUCCCAGCGCUGGACAUUUCUGCUGGGUGCCAUAAUCAAAAGAAUCAGGACCUCGAGAAGCAAGCACCCAGUGGAGGUGGGUAGGGACAGGUAUAAAGUUCUGAGCUUGUCUGACUGGCCAGGGAACCUAUAAGUGUCUUUAGAGAUUUGAAGGGACCAAGAUCUGGACUGACUGACUUAGAGUGCUGGGGCUGGGAUGGCCGCCAGGAGGCCCACGUUAGUUCUGCACAGGAGUUAUGGAAUUAUUAACAGUGUCCUUCCGGAAAAAGGCCUGGGGUCCCUGAUCUGGCUGUUCCUUGUCUCAGGACUCUCAAGUGGGGGCGAUGGGAGAAGCAAGGGUUAUUCUGGUAUGGUCGCGGGCAGGCUCUCAGCGAUGCUCUGUGUCCCUGGAGCAUGUAGGUGUCCUAGCUUACAUUCCUCCAUUUCCGAAGCUCCAUCUCCGAGCGAGCAGAGGGUCCCUUCUGUCCGCGGGCGGGUCAAAGCGGCACACGUGCACACUCUGAGCGCAGACGGAACCUGCGUCUGGUACUCACCCUGGUUUCCCUCCCCUGUCCUGGGCGGAUAUAGUUGAGGCGCGGAGAGCACGCGGAAGUCUCCCUGGGUGCUCGUGACCUGGAGGACACGUGUGUCCCCACCGUCAAGCCAACGCCACCAGACCACGAGGGCACCUACAAAUGGACCCAGGCGCGCUUCUGGGUGGGCGUGGGAGGCGCCUGAUGUCUCUGCUCUGUUUUACAGUUACUCGCCUGCAGGUGCCUCCUGCCCCCGCGCGGUUCCCGCCUGCGCUCGGCUCACUCUUAGCCGGCACGAACUCGCCGUCAGCACCCGCUCCUAGGAGGGCGCGCGGGCGAGGAGAGAUUCAGAAGACAGAGAAAAGAGAAGGAGGAGCACUAUGGCAAGAGUCCACAACAAGUAUACAGACAUCCCUGGAGGGCCGUUCCUGACCAGGUCACAGAAUGUGGGAUCCAGGGAUCUCCUCUGCAUUCUGAGCAGGUCAGACCUUCCUGGCAUGGGAUACCCUGCCUGACUUGGCAGAGGGCAGUGAACCAAGGUCCUUCCCAGCUCCAGGCUCCAUGAUGGCUGCAGAGCUGCCACCAGUUUCUGUGGGGGUUUCCUACUUUGUUACAUGCCAGUAACCCUCCCGUCGUGGCCCUGCCCAGCUCACAGGGAACUCAGCCUGCAUUAUCUCCUUCAAGUUACACUGGGAUGGAGGAGGCACCUUUACCCAGAGGCUACAAAAAUGAAAGCCCACCUCACUGCUGGCAAGUGCCAUGAGACUAACAUGUGAUCUGCCUUGAAACAAGGCUUUGGCCAGAAAGCAUGUCUCAGCUAGGUGUGUUCUCAUUCUCAGCCUCAAAUUGGGAUGUCUUUGCCUUCUCUCCUGGUUCUACAUGCUUUGAAUAGUGUUUGCCGAAGUGACCCUCCAGAUUGUCCUGUGAAGUAAAGUGAUGGUACAGCCUCUUUUCAGUUUUUAUGGAAAUGGAAACAGAGAGGAAUGGUGACUCUUGCCAAGGUCGCAGGAUUGGAAUAUGGAGCCAAACUGCCUCAGGUCAUAGAAGAUCAUCAGAAGGAGAAAAUCUGAGCAGGAAGAGAAGAGUCAGCUACCUCCUGAGGCUGUAAAAGUUGGAGGCAAGAAUGGAGGAAUCCCAGGCAAUCCUGCUUGUCUGGGACUUGGCAAGAGACCUGGGGAAUAUGACCCAACCCUUUUGUGGGGUCUUUGCUUUUGACCUAUUGGCCUAGUUUGUCCUCUACCAUUUCUGCCCUUAUCACAUCCUAUCAGGCCUGUUCACCCUGAAACAUUCUGGCCAGGCCUCUGGCAAAUGAAAGCUCUAUACCAUCUGCAUUUUCACCCCAAAGGACUGGAGGCAGUGUGCUCAGAAGUUGCCAAAGCAGAGGCUCCAGCCUUCUAGGAGUUAAUGACUCCUUCUCCCCAGCUGUCCUCCCUUUGGUGCUCCUCUUCCUCCCUCCUGCUCACAGCAGGCUCGGCCUGGACCCAGGAGCCAUGCUGCUGUGCUGUUGCCAGGGGAGCCCAGAGGCAGAUCUGAGCUAUGCAGGGAAAAGGCCCAGCCUGUCAAAGUGUCUGAGAUGAACCGCCGCUGUCCCUGUGCAGCUGGGCUCAGACUUGUCUCGGCUCUUGUCUGUGCCUGAGAAUGGCGAAGCCCAGUGAGGUUCAAGGGCAAACUCGCUAUUCAUUAGUCAGGGGUUCUUGACGUCCUGUCUCUCCAGGGAUGGGUUCCCCCCUUCCUCUCUCUCUCCCUCCUCUGAUACAUUCCUGGGUGCCUUUGGAGAGGACUACACACCCUCCUCUUGCCCAACCCCCUCUCCAUAGGCCCCUGAAUAAACUCCCCUCAAGGAGACCAGGCAGGAUAGAGACAAUGGCUUCAGGAAAUCAUUCAGGCGAGACCCCAGCCACUCUGGCCUGCCUUCCACUUCCACAGCCCCUGUAGGCACACUCUGCUGUGACUCCGGCCACUCUGGGCCACCAGCCUGCAUAGGCCUGGAUGGGAAGAGACUACUGGGCACUGCCCUAAGGACAACAUUCAGUGCAAUGCCAUUCUCACUGGGCUCCAGGUAUACAUUUAUCUCCCUGGCUGGGUGCUAUAUUUCUGUAACAUUGUGUGUCUAUUUAAAGACACUCUUCAAUACUGUUUUUAGGAAGUGUAUUUUCUAAAAUGUAGCAGUAUCAAAAAAUAAAAGGCAGUGGUGCAGGCCUGUAAUUCCAGCAACUCAGGAAGCUGAGUCAGGAAGAUUGCAAGUUCAAGGCCAGCAUCAGCAACUUCAGAAGACCCCAUCUCAAAAAAUUAAAAAGGGGGCUUUCAUGCACAAGGCCCUGGGUUCAAUCCCCAGCACCAAAAAAAAAAAAAAUAAUAAUAAUAAUAAUAAUUAAAAGGGCUGGGGGUGUAUCUCAGCACUCCUGGAUCUAAUCUUCAGUACUGGGGAAAAAAAUAUAAAAGGCACAUAUACUUGAACACAAAUAUAUUGCACUAUUAGGAAUUUACCUUAUGGGUAUAUUUGUAAAACUUCCCAAAGAGGUAUGUACAAGGGUGUUCAUGGGAUCAUUUCUUCUUUACAGUGUAAAGAAAUAGAAAUAACCAAUGGGUCCUUUCAUACAGUGGAGUACUAUGCAGUUGUAAAAGUCCAUGUGGUAAGAUCUCUAUCGACAGGCCCAUAUGGAAUGUUGGCUAGUAUAUAUUAUAGGGUAAAUAGAAUAAACUGCAGAAUAGGCAAUAGAGUAUGAUCUUAUUUGUGUACAUUUAAAAAUCAGAGGCCAGCCGGGUGUGGUGGUGCACACCUGUAAUUCUAGCAGCUCGGGAGGCUGAGGCAGGGGGAUCGAGAAUUCAAAGCCAGCCUCAGCAACUUAGUGAGGCCCUAAGCAACUCAGUAAGACUCUGUCUCUAAACAAAAUACAAAAAUAGGUUGGGGAUGUGGCUCAGUGGAUAAGUGACCCUGGGUCCAACCCAGUACCAAAAAAAAAAAAAAAAAACCAGGCCAAGCGCAGUGGUGCUUGCCUAUAAAUUCUAGAAACUCCAGAGGUUGAGGCAGGAGGAUUAAUAGUUGGAGGCCAGCCUUAGCAAUUUAGUCAGGCUCUAAGCAACUUAUUGAGACCCUGUCUAAAAAUAAAAAGAUCUGGGGAUGAAGCUCUCAAUGAUAAAGCACCCUUGGGUUUAAUCCCAAUAAUAAUAAAUAAACCCUACAAAAAACAAAAACAAAUCAUAAAUAUGCUUAUAUAUGAGUGGUUUCUGAUAAUAUGUAUUAGAUAACCACCUCUGGGAAGUGGGGAUACAGGGAUGCAUUCUUCUGUACAAUAAUAUUUUCUUUUCAUGUUUGUAAAAUACUUUUCUUGAAAAAUAUAGGGACUAUUUAAUAGGCUUAACUUCUAUCAACAAACUUGGAAUAGGAACUUAAGAUGAUAGUGGUGAUGUUGCAGGAAAAAAUAUUCCAGAAUCACUGGCAACAUUAGCUACUAUACUUUUCUGAGCCUAAUGAUCACAUCAGCAUGGCUCUAUUAAUCAUAAAAUCUAGUAAGUGCCAGGGUGUUUCUCUUGGUCUUGUUUAGAUGUGGGUAUCAUGUUUUCAAUUCACCCCGUGGGAAAGGUUGGUUGAUUUGCCCAAAAUCCUGGGCAGGUAGGGGUAGGAGUCAGGAAUCUGAUGGGGGCUCAGGAAGGGUGGUGUAGGCUCUCAGCCAUUGCCCCUCCAUCCUCAGGAGACUGACCCCUGGGGUGCCACCCCAGGGUGGCACCACAUGGACCUCAGUGAGUGGAAGAUGUCUCCAUCCUACUGCAGCCCAAAGGAGGACAGACCAACUGGGGCUGGCAGCAAAUGGAUGGGAUUCUGAAAGGUACCAUUUGCAAAAAGAGCAUGUGUCCUGAGAGAAAAAGCACCCUUUGUAUUGCCCACCCCAGCAUCAAUCACCCCUGCUUCACUUCCCCUCCCCCAGCCAAAGAGUAAAUUGCCGGGAAAGUGUUGCCUGUGACAGGGCACAGGAGUUCCCAAAGCCAGAAACGUUGGUGUCCUGCCACAGGUCGGGACACAGCAGCUCACAUAGCACUCUUCACUGGGCCCUGGAUAGCCGGGAGGAGGUGCUGGGGAGGUGCAGUCCUAGAGGGGCUUGGGAAACCCAUGGGAGUCUAGGUAGUCCCAGAUCAGCUGCCAGCAAGCAGAGUGAGGAGAAAGGAAAUAUUAAGAGCAACUGCUGUGGGCUAGGUUGUCAGGUGCCAGGUCACUGUGCUUUGGCCCAAUGAGUUUUCUUUAAUUUUAUGGGCUGUGGGUGCCAUUAGUACAUUCAUUUUACAGAUGAAGACACUGAGGAUCAGAAAAGUUAUGGUCCUUAGUCACACAGCUAAAAAUUGCCAGAAAUGAGAUUCAAAAUCAAGACUAAAUGACUCUAAACUAUACUCCUAACCCCAAAGAAAUCCUGUCAUUUAAAAAAGGUCCCCAAAGCUGUACUUUCUCCUGGCCAGUAUCCACUUGAAAAGACAUCAACCUUUGCCUGCAAGGCCACCUCAAAUACUCCCUUGCCUGGGGUCUUCCUCAAUUCCACCUAAUGCCAUCUCUCUUCUUGGGGUGUGCUAAGCCUUGGAGACUGGGCACUGGGGCGGAUUCCAGACCCUCAUUCAGAUUGGGGCUGUUGGUUAAUAUUGCUCUUAAGUGCUGCUGCUGCCCAGUCUCCUGGCUCCUGGUCUUCUAUACUCCCGUAGACUUUGCUUCUUCCUUGAGGUCCUUGACCUAAAGGAGCCUCUUAGGAAGGUGAGGAGGCUCCCAGGAUGGCCCCACUGCUUCUCAGAGGCUAGUCCAAUGAUAAGAGGGAGUGGGGGGGUGGGUCUUGAGAAGCUGAUACUGGAAAGCAGAGAUGGUCCCCAUGUGCUUGAGUUUCUAGGACUCUUACAAGACCAUUGGGUCCAUCUGAAUUGUCCUGAGAGAGCACUAGGGCAAAUUAUGGGAAAGAAGCCUCUUCCUGUCCUGUGAACCCUCUGGCUUUCUUGCACCAGUCCAUGGAGAAUAAAGUUUCUUUGCAAAGCC